rnacentral:rRNA from 1 species
AUUGAACGCUGGCGGCAUGCUUUACACAUGCAAGUCGAACGGUAACAGGCCGCAAGGUGCUGACGAGUGGCGAACGGGUGAGUAAUGCAUCGGAACGUGCCCAGUCGUGGGGGAUAACGCAGCGAAAGCUGUGCUAAUACCGCAUACGAUCUAUGGAUGAAAGCGGGGGACCGUAAGGCCUCGCGCGAUUGGAGCGGCCGAUGUCAGAUUAGGUAGUUGGUGGGGUAAAGGCCUACCAAGCCGACGAUCUGUAGUUGGUCUGAGAGGACGACCAGCCACACUGGGACUGAGACACGGCCCAGACUCCUACGGGAGGCAGCAGUGGGGAAUUUUGGACAAUGGGCGCAAGCCUGAUCCAGCAAUGCCGCGUGCAGGAAGAAGGCCUUCGGGUUGUAAACUGCUUUUGUCAGGGAAGAAAUCCUCUGGGUUAAUACCCCGGGGGGAUGACGGUACCUGAAGAAUAAGCACCGGCUAACUACGUGCCAGCCGCCGCAGUAACAC